rfam:Brassica oleracea var. oleracea cultivar TO1000 chromosome C2, whole genome shotgun sequence
GAAAUAUAAAAAUCCGUCUCUUAAUUUUUAUCUAAAAAAAUUAAGAACCGGUUCUUAAAUAAGAGUUUUAAGAACCGGUUCUUAACUUUUUUAGUUAAAAGUUAAGAGACGGGUUCUUAUAUUCC